AAGAGAAGAGAAUAGUGGACACGUGUCGAGAUGUGACAUGCCCAAGAAAUUGUAUGCUUCAUUAGUAAAAAGCUGAGACAAAAAGCUGAGACGAUGGUUGUAGCAGUAAGUAGUAACUGAUUUGGGCCUUUGGCUUGCAUCCCUAGGGUAAACAAACUUACGGUGGGUAUUGUACCAAAUGAUCCCAGCCGUUCAAACUCGUUUUUAAAAGCUCUGUUCGCUUCAGGUUUCCCAAU